GUCUUCUUGUUAUAUUUAGGAAGUCUGGCCUGCCCAGUGAAAAUAAUUUAACGGCCGCGGUAUACUGACCGUGCAAAGGUAGCAUAAUCAUUAGUCUUUUAAUAGAGGGCUGGUAUGAAGGGUUUAACGAGGUGUUGACUGUCUCAUUUAAUUUGAAUUUAGAAUUUAAUUUUUUAGUUAAAAAGCUAAAAUAUUAUUGGAAGACGAGAAGACCCUAUAGAGCUUUAUAUUUUUACUAUUAAUUUAUUAUAGUUUAUUAUUAUUUAUUAUUAGUAUGAAGUAUUUUGUUGGGGUGACAAAAAUAUAUAAAUAACUUUUUUAUUUUAUUUACAUUGAUAUAUGAAUAUUAGAUCCAAUCUUAUUGAUUGUUAGAUUAAGUUACCUUAGGGAUAACAGCGUAAUCCCUCUCCAGAGUUCAUAUUUACAGAGGGGCUUGCGACCUCGAUGUUGGAUUAAGAUAAUAAUUAGGUGCAGCCGCUUAAUUAAUAGGUCUGUUCGACCUUUAAAUUCUU
rnacentral:rRNA from 1 species